AGCAGCCGCGGUAAUUCCAGCUCCAAUAGCGUAUAUUAAAGUUGUUGCAGUUAAAAAGCUCGUAGUUGAAUUUCGGGAUCAAUUAAUUGGUCGUGCCUCUGGUACGUACUGAUUUUAUUGGUUUCUCCCUUCUGACGAACCAUGAUGUCAUUAAUUUGGUGUCGUGGAGAAUCAGGACUGUUACUUUGAAAAAAUUGAGUGUUUAAAGCAAGCUAACGCUUGAAUACAUUAGCAUGGAAUAAUGAAAUAGGACGUUUGAUCCUAUUUUGUUGGUUUCUAGGAUCGACGUAAUGAUUAAUAGGGAUAGUUGGGGGCAUUAGUAUUCAAUUGUCAGAGGUGAAAUUCUUGGAUUUAUUGAAGACUAACUGCUGCGAAAGCAUUGCC
rnacentral:rRNA from 1 species